GUUCAACCUAAUCUCUUGUAUUUAUGUUCAAUUUUGUAGUCGAACCUCGAUAUUCUUGUGGAUUACAUCAGAAAUUAACUCCUCAUUAGGUGAGAUUUAAUGUUAGGUCGUUCCUGAUUCUUUGGCAAUUUGAAUAGUUUGUAGAAGGAUUGGAAUGCCUUUAUCUUUUGAGUUUUUUUCUUUAUUCUCUACGAAUCGGAUGGUUUUUCGAGUUUGUCUCCGUUUUCCAUGCUGUCUUUGAAGUCCUUGUUCUCGAACAGCGACUGAAAGCACUUCUCUGUUCUCGAAUUGUGGCGUUUAGAUUUAAUUGUUAAAGGACGUGACCUCACUAAUUCGGAACCAAUUAUACUGUAUGUUCGACGAUGAAUUUGAAAGACCUCACUUCCGUAGGAAUCCAAUUUCGUAAACCUAAGAUCCUCUGAUUCCCUCCCUCCUUUAAGAACGGAAGCAUGAAAUCGUGGAGUGACUUUGAUCCCCUGGCUCUUAUUCCAUCGAUGGGUACGGACUCCAUAGCUCAUAGGUAUUAUUGAGGCGAUAAGUAAUACCUUUCUUUCCUUUCACUAUAUAUCCUUGUGUUAGCUCCACUUUCAUCUCUUCCAUUUCGCCAUUUAAGGAAUCAAGCCAGGCCACCAAGUUGAAACAAAUUUCAUCGCAAUUAAACUACCAAGACGAGUACAGUUCUUGCAAUCUGUCUCAUUAAGAUCUACACCAGGUCAAUAAAGAUUGCUCAAACUCGGAGAACACAGGUAUGAUCUUUGAUGAUGGAAUGAAAGGAACAAAAGUAUAGAGGUUGGUACUGAAGUUUCAGAGCGCUUAGACAUAAUGAAUUUCUGGGCACUACAACAUAACUAUAGGUUAUCUUCAGGUUAUAUUUAGUUGAUUCUGAUGGAUUUUGGUAAAAAUUCUGAUAGUUGUAAUGACCCAACUUUUUAUACUCUAGUCGAGAUCAUUAAUAGUUCAAAAUUAUAGAA